CACCGCGGUUAUACGAGAGGCCCAAGUUGACAGACACCGGCGUAAAGCGUGGUUAAGGAAAACUUAGACUAAAGCCGAACACCUUCAAGGCAGUUAUACGCAUCCGAAGAUACGAAGCCCCACCACGAAAGUGGCUUUAUAACCCCUGACCCCACGAAAGCUAUGAUACAAACUGGGAUUAGAUACCCCACUAUGCCUAGCCGUAAACAUUGAUAGAAUUAUACACCUUCUAUCCGCCCGGGUACUACGAGCAUCAGCUUAAAACCCAAAGGACUUGGCGGUACUUUAGAUCCCCCUAGAGGAGCCUGUUCUAUAACCGAUGACCCCCGUUCAACCUCACCCUCCCUUGUCUCUCCCGCCUAUAUACCGCCGUCGUCAGCUUACCCUGUGAGGGUUUAAUAGUAAGCAAAAUUGGUACCACCCAGAACGUCAGGUCGAGGUGUAGCGUAUGAGAGGGGAAGAAAUGGGCUACAUUCGCUAAAGUAGCGAAUACGAACGAUGCACUGAAAACGUUCAUCCGAAGGAGGAUUUAGCAGUAAGUGGAAAAUAGAGCGUUCCACUGAAAUCGGCUCUGAAGUGCGU
rnacentral:rRNA from 1 species